UAACGCGUAGGUAACCUGCCUGGUAGCGGGGGAUAACUAUUGGAAACGAUAGCUAAUACCGCAUAAGAGUAGAUGUUGCAUGACAUUUGCUUAAAAGGUGCAAUUGCAUCACUACCAGAUGGACCUGCGUUGUAUUAGCUAGUUGGUGAGGUAACGGCUCACCAAGGCAACGAUACAUAGCCGACCUGAGAGGGUGAUCGGCCACACCGGGACUGAGACACGGCCCAG
rnacentral:rRNA from 1 species